rnacentral:lncRNA from 1 species
AUUCUACGGAUAGAUAGAUUGAUUACUUGUUUUCUUAUCCUUGUUCAGAAAGAGAGAGAGAGAGAGAGUGUGUGUGUGUGUCCGUUCGACCUAUAUUCUGAAAAAGUAAUUUUUGAAAAAUUAAUUUUGAUUUAAAAAAUUAAAAAUUGUACAGCAUUUGACUGAGUAUAGAUUUAAAAUAAUUUUGUAAAAUUGUUUGGCAAAUUUUUUUGAUGUUGGUAUAUAAUAAUUUCCUUUUAUUAAAUUUUAUUUUAAAAUAAUUUUAAAAUUAAAUUUANCAUAUUAAUUAAUUUUGUAAAAUUGUUUGGCAAAUUUUUUUGAUGUUGGUAUAUAAUAAUUUCCUUUUAUUAAAUUUUAUUUUAAAAUAAUUUUAAAAUUAAAUUUAAAUUGAAAGUUUAAAUUAAAAUUAAAAUUUUAAUAUUAAAUAAUAAAUUAUAAAUUAUAAAUCUUUUAUUUAGUUUGGUCAUAUUCAACAAAUUUGAUGCGUCUCUGUCCAAAAUUAAUUAAUAUGAUAUGUUAACAUCACUUUUGUUGCAAAAGAAAAAUAUUAUUGGUAUGGUAUGGUUUUCUACUUAAUAUUAAUAAGUGUGAUGCAUGCAUGCUUAAUUUUCUAGAUACAGGGAAAGACAUAUUUAAAAGAAGGAUUAAUUGCAUAUAGGUCCCUGCAAAUAUAGUAAAUUGUAAAUAUAGUUCUACAAAAUUCAACUUUUAUGUAUUAUUUCUACAAAAGUCUUAAUAUUUUCAAAUAUAUCUAUACGGUUAGAAUCCAUUAGAAAAGUUUAGUUAAAGUUAAAUACUCAACUUUGAUUUGUUUAUGAGAUAACUUAACAUUUUUACCCCUCUUAUAUUAUAUUGUUGUGGCUUUUGGAGGGACAUAUUUGUGAUGGCAAAAUUGACAUUUCAAUUAUUCGCUGUUAAAAUAUAAACAGUUAUCGAACGGUAACUAAGCAGAGGGACAUAUUUAAAAAUAUUAAAACUUUUGUAGGGACACUAUAUAAAAAUUGAAAUUUGCAAGAAUAUAUUUGUAAUUCACUAUAUUUGUAGGGAUCUGUAUGAAUUUAACCCUUAAAAAAAAAG